GGAUGGACGCAUGAAGAGCUUUUAACGACGUUAGCGGGCGUCUUCUAGUUGUUUCGGGCCGAUGUGUCCGGGAAGCGGAGGCGGCAUUAACCCGAUGUUUCCGGUAGUCAGUGGAAGCGGUAAUGGCGGCUGCACGGGCCCGUUCUGUAUGGGCGCUGGAAAUGGCGGCAGUGGAGUAGCCAGAAGAGGCGGUGGGAUGAUAGGCGGACCCAGGGGAGUGAGAGGAUUUAACUGACCCUGAAGCAAAACGGGUUUGAUUCAGAACAAGUGUUUGGAUUGUAGUGAAUUGCAUAACCAGGCCAGCCAAGUUUUAUUCAAUGUUCAGCAUCCCCAUGAUGUUUUAUAAACUCGCAUGUAAGAAUUCAAAAGUCUUUAAUAUACUGUUAUUAAACAGUUAUUACCAUGUAUACUUCUAAUAGUUGUACAUUUUUACCAUAUUUAUUUCGAACAGUUGGGUUAUGUAACCCAUUACCCUUUGUAAGACCCGUCUCUUCUUGCAUUUGUGAUUUUUGUCUAUAUGUCAUCACUCUUCUUGGUGGUUUAAUUUUAAUUUGAAUUAUUGAUAUGAAAUCAACAUUUAACUUAUAUGUAAUAUAAUUAUCUGUUGAAAUGUAUAUUAU